GAUGAACGCUGGCGGCGGGCCUAAUACAUGCAAGUCGAGCGAGCAGACGAUGAGCUUGCUCCUCUGACGUUAGCGGCGGACGGGUGGGUGACACGUGGGUAAGCUACCUAUACUACUGGGAUAAAUUCGGGAAACCGAGGCUGAUACCGGAUAAUAGAUUUAACCGCAUGGUUCAAUAGUGUAAUAAGAGUUUUAUGUCACUUAUAGAUGGAUCCGCGCCGCAUUAGCUAGUUGGUAAGGUAACGGCUUACCAAGGCAACGAUGCGUAGCCGACCUGAGAGGGUGAUCGGCCACACUGGAACUGAGACACGGUCCAGACUCCUACGGGAGGCAGCAGUAGGGAAUCUUCCGCAAUGGGCGAAAGCCUGACGGAGCAACGCCGCGUGAAUGAUGAAGGUCUUCGGAUCGUAAAACUCUGUUAUUAGGGAAGAACAAAUGUGUAAGUAACUAUGCACGUCUUGACGGUACCUAAUCAGAAAGCCACGGCUAACUACGUG
rnacentral:rRNA from 1 species